rnacentral:misc_RNA from 1 species
GAUGAAGAACGUAGCGAAAUGCGAUAAGUAAUGCGAAUUGCAGAAUUUCCGUGAGUCAUCGAAUCUUUGAACGCACAUUGCGCCUCCUGGCAUUCCGGGAGGCAUGCCUGUUCGAGCGUCAUCAAACCCCAUCGUGCAAAUGAAUUAUUUUUUUUGCGCGGAAGUGACGAUUGAGCGAGAAUAACAAAUCCUCUCGCACCUCGUCGAAAUGAUUGCGGGCGGAAUUUGGGAUCGGGUUCCUCGGCGUAGUGUAUCAAUGCAUAUUUAUGCAACUUGCCGCGGAGUUGAGCCUGACCCACGCGUUCUCGCCGUACAAACACCUCAUUACUUUACAAGUUUUUGACCUCGGAUCAGGUAGGGAUACCCGCUGAACUUAAGCAUAUCAAUAAGCGGAGGA